CGGACGGGUGAGUAACACGUGGGUAACCUGCCUAAAAGAAGGGGAUAACACUUGGAAACAGGUGCUAAUACCGUAUAUCUCUAAGGAUCGCAUGAUUCUUAGAUGAAAGAUGGUUCUGCUAUCGCUUUUAGAUGGACCCGCGGCGUAUUAACUAGUUGGUGGGGUAACGGCCUACCAAGGUGAUGAUACGUAGCCGAACUGAGAGGUUGAUCGGCCACAUUGGGACUGAGACACGGCCCAA
rnacentral:rRNA from 1 species